CGCCUCUAAGUCAGAAUCCGG
rnacentral:snRNA from 1 species